GCGGCUUCCUUAAGCGCCGCGAGUCCGCGAGAUUUAAAAGUUUAAUGUUAGUAAGUGGUUUUAAUGUUAGCCCUUUUUAUGUUGCGUUUUACUAGGCAGUACUUACUGUAAGAUGGAGAAAAAAAUAUUCAAUGACUGGCGCCGAAAUUGAAUUAUGUCUACUAGCUCUGUUAUGAACGAGACAUGGACGCUGUUCCGCUAGCUUCUCAGUUAACGGAUCAGCUGAGAAGCAUUCUACUGAUGAACCAAAGGUUUCUGCACCGUGUUCUUCAUGGACUAUGAUGAGCUGCCACUGAACCUGCAGCACCGGAAGCGCUCGAGAACUUUCUCUGUACUGCCUGAGGUUCAUCUUUCCACUUAUGGACAGCGGAGAGAAGGAGCCUGAAAGUUCAUUUGUCCAAAAUUGGGUUUCCAUCGGAUCAUCCUAUCAUAGCUGCGGACAUUCAGCUCGCUGCGGGCCACCUGUGCUUGAAGGCUGCUGCUGAGGCGCGAGAGGGUGGGGCUGCUUCCGCCAGCCCUGUCCGGAGCCGACCGCGAGGCGGCCCCCGAUUCCUCGUCGCCGGCCUC